rnacentral:rRNA from 1 species
UAUGUGGUUUAAUUCGAUGCAACGCGAAGAACCUUACCUGGUCUUGACAUCCCGGAGACCCUUAGGAAACUAGGGGGUGCUUCCAUCUGGAAGAAUCUGGAGACAGGUGCUGCAUGGCUGUCGUCAGCUCGUGUCGUGAGAUGUUGGGUUAAGUCCCGCAACGAGCGCAACCCUUGCCUUUAGUUGCCAGCAGUUCGGCUGGGCACUCUAAAGGGACUGCCGGUGUUAAACCGGAGGAAGGUGGGGAUGACGUCAAGUCCUCAUGGCCUUUAUGACCAGGGCUACACACGUACUACAAUGGCCGAUACAAAGGGCAGCGACAUCGCGAGGUGAAGCCAAUCCCAUAAAAUCGGUCUCAGUCCGGAUUGGAGUCUGCAACUCGACUCCAUGAAGUUGGAAUCGCUAGUAAUCGUGGAUCAGCAUGCCACGGUGAAUACGUUCCCGGGCCUU